CUCUCUCUCUCUCUCUCUCAUUUUCUGUAAGUCUAUCUAACAAUCUAUCUCCCUAUCUGUUUUCCUGUUUAUUUAUGUCUAUUUCUUUUAUAUCUACCAAUCUAUCUAUCCGCUUGUCUGUCCCUAUCUAUUUAUCUAUCUAUCCAUCUGUCUGUCUGUCUCUAACUAUCUAUCUAUCCCCUCCAGGUCAACCCCACCAAGAGUCUUAACUAACAUCACUCGCCGCCUGACAUGAUCGACCAAGUACUUAUGUGAUGCAAAUGAGAAAGCUUGCUCAGCCUGACUCGCCUUAUCAACCUCCGACCCUUGAUAAGACAGCCCGGGCGCAGAAGGGCAGUCAACGGAGAGUCUAUCAGAUAAACCACUAAAAAGCCUCUGAUAAUGGGGGUCUUAUUUUAAAACAUUACACGCCCAAGUACACAUAUUUGCAAAGGCUUUCCAAGGAGUUUUGAGCAUUUCCAGGGGUAUAGUUUUAUGACCCUGGUGGUAGUUUGAUCCUUCUUCUGUACCCUGAACCUAGAAGGACGUAUUUGACAAGGCUUUCAUAGUUGUGGGCAUUUCCAGUAGUUUUAUAACCCUGGUGGUAGUUUGAUCUUUCUUCUGUGCCAUGAACCGAGAACAUAUUUGACAAGGCUUUCGUUGUUGUGGGCAUUUCUAGUAGUUUUAUAACCCUGGUGGUAGUUUGACCCUUCUUGUGUAUCGUGGUGGACCUAGAAGAACAUAUUUGACAAGGCUUUCGUAGUUGUGGGCAUUUCUAGUAGUUUUAUAACCCUGGUGGUAGUUUGACCCUUCUUCUGUAUCGCGGUGAACCUAGAAGAACAUAUUUGACAAGGCUUUCGUAGUUGUGGGCAUUUCCAGCAGUUUUAUGGCCCUGGUGGUAGUUUGAUCCUUCUUCUGUACCAUGAACCUAGAAGAACAUAUUUGACAAGGCUUUCCUAGGAGUUUUGAGCAUUUCCAGGGGUAGUUUUAUGACCCUGGUGGUAGUGUGACCUUUCCUCUGUACCGUGAACCUAAAAAAACACUCAUUAGAGCCCGAUUGAUCCCCUCUUUGACCUUUAAAAAAAGUUGAUGCGAGAAGGAAAAGUGUCUUAUAAUACCUACGUGGGUGUUGCAGGUGCCAUGAAGUAAGACAGAGGAAAAAAUGUGUAUCCUGGAUUAGUGUAUUUAGAGUUGUUUAUAGUAUUUAGUGAGUGAUAGACUGGGAAGCAAUUAAGAGUCUAUUAGAUAACCCACUGAAAAGCCUCUAACACAAUGGGAGAGUUGUUAGUGCCAUGAAGUCAGACAGAGAGAAAUGUGUGUCCUGGAUUAGUGUAUUUAGAGUUGUUUAUAGUAUUUAGUGAAAGAGUGAUAGAAUGGGAGGCCUAAUGGGGAGUCUAUUAGAUAACCCAAUGAAAAGUCUCUGGUAAUGGGGGAGUUGUUAGUGCCGUGAAGUCAGACAGAAUGUGUAUCUUGGAUUAGUGUAUUUAGAGUUGUUUAUAGUAUUUAGUGAAAGAGUGAUAGAAUGGGAGGCCUAAUGGAGAGUCUAUUAGAUAACCCAAUGAAAAGUCUCUGGUAAUGGGGGAGUUGUUAGUGCCGUGAAGUCAGACAGAAUGUGUAUCUUGGAUUAGUAUAUUGAGAGUUGUUUAUAGUAUUUAGUGAAAGAGUGACAGAAUGGGAGGCCUAAUGGAGAGUCUCUUAGAUAACCCACUGAAGAGCCUCUGAUAAUGGGGGAGUUGUUAGUGCCAUGAAGUUAGACAGAGGAAAACGUGUAUCUUGGAUUAGUAUAUUUAGAGUUGUUUAUAGUAUUUAGUGAGAGUGAUAGAAUGGGAGGCAAUGGAGAGUCUAUCUGAUAACUCACUGAAGAGCCUCUGGCAAUGGUGUGUUUUGAGUGGUUUUAAGUAUGUUAGGGACACGAAUUUCGCUUAUAAAAAGAAAAAGGGCAGAUAUACAUACAAAGAAAUCCUUCCAUACAUAGAUCCGUACAUCCUUCCAUACAGGGAAAUACAGAAAAAAAGUCCCGUACCCUUAAAUUUACUGUGGCUAACGUUAAAAUUAUGUUGUUUAGGUUACUGAGUGAGUGUAAUAGAUAGUUUUUGUAUUACUUGUUUGAUGAUACUUUUUUUUACAGUAAAGAAAGCCGCUCGCGUGAAAAAAAAUAUAUAAUAGACAAACAAACAAAAGGGAGUUAGCAGACAGGCAGAAAGAAAGACAGGCAAAUAGAGAAAAGGGAAAAACAAAUUAAUAGAUAGAGAGAGAAAGAAAAAGACAAACUGAAAGGGAAAAAGACAAACAACAGAGAGAGAGAGAGAGAGAGAGAGA